GUAACACUGUUCUGUCCAAGUCACUACAGGUAAACAACACACUGUAACACUGUUCUGUCCAAGUCACUCUAAAGGUAUAGAACACACUGUAACACUGUUCUGUCCAUGACACUAUAUAUAAAUAUUUUUAUACAACACAUUGUAAAACUGUUCUGUAACACUGUUCUGUAAAACUGUUCUGUAACACUGUUCUGUAACGCUGUUCUGCAACACUGUUCUGUAACACUGUUCUGUCCAUGUCACUCUACAGGUAAACAACACACUGUAACACUGUUCUGUCCAUGUCACUCUACAAGUAAACAACACACUGUAACACUGUUCUGUAACACUGUUCUGUAACACUGUUCUGUCCAUGUCACUCUACAAGUAAACAACACACUGUAACACUGUUCUGUCCAAGUCACUCUACAGUCUUGAAGGAGUUCCCACAUAUGCUGAGGACUUGUUGGAUGCUUUUUCUUCACUCUGCGGUCCAACUCAUCCCAAACCAUCUCAAUUGGGUUGAGGUCAGGUGAUUGUGGAGGCCAGGUCAUCUGAUGCAGCACGCCAUCACUCUCCUUCUUGGUCCAAUAGCCCUUACACAGCCUGGAGGUUCACCUACUCUGCGUCUCACAAAGACAUGGCGGUUGGAUCCAAAAAUCCAAAAUGUUGACUUGUCAUACCAAAGGACAGAUUUCCAUCAGUCUAAUGUCCGUUGCUCGUGUUUCUUGGCCCAAGCAAGUAUUUUCUUCUUAUUGGUGUCCUUUAGUAGAGGUUUCUUUGCAGCAAUUCAACCAUGAAGGCCUGAUUCACACAGUCCCCUCAGAACAGUUGAGGUUGAGAUGUGUCUAUUACUUGAACUCUGUGAAGCAUCAAUUUGGGCUGCAAUCGGAGGUACUAACUCUCAUGAACUUAUCCUCUGCAGCAGAGAUAACUCUGGGUGUUCCAUUCAGUUGCGGUCCUCAUGAGAGCCAGUUUCAUCCUAGCUCCUGAUGGUUUUUGCGACUGCACUUGAAGAAACUUUCAAAGUUCUUUAAAUGUUCUGCAUUGACUGACCUUCAUGUCUUAAAGUCAUUUUGGACUGUUUUUUUCUCUUUGCACUGUUUUGAUUUUCUUGCCAUAAUAUGGACUUGGUGUUUUACCAAAUAGGGCAAACAGGGCUGUCUUCUGUAUACCACCCUACCUUGUCACAACACAACUGAUUGUCUCAAACGCAUUAAGAAGUAAAGAAAUUCCACAAAUGUACUUUUAACAAGGCACACCUGGUUCCAGGUAGAACCCUUUUUAUUUCCAG
ensembl:lncRNA